rnacentral:rRNA from 1 species
AGUGAACGCUGGCGGUAUGCCUAAUACAUGCAAGUCGAACGACAACACAGUGAGCUCUCGCUCUUACGGGUGGCGAGUGGCGGACGGGUAACACGUACAUCGCCUUCCUCUUUUACGUGGGUAAUAACGUGAGACCACUUACGCUACUACCUCAUACGUCCUACGGGUGAGAUCAGUAGUUCUUCGCACCUUUCGCGACUGUAUGAGCCGAUGUCGGAUUAGCUAGUUGGCGGGGUAAAGGCCCACCAAGGCGACGAUGCGUAGCUGGUCUGAGAGGAUGAUCAGCCACACUGGAACUGAGACACGGUCCAGACUCCUACGGGAGGCAGCAGUAGGGAAUAUUGGGCAAUGGGCGAAAGCCUGAUGGAGCAAUACCGCGUGAGUGAAGAAGGUCUUCGGGUCGUAAAGCUCUUUUGUUAGGGAAGAACAACAGCGGAUUAAACCAUGGCUGUCUUGACGGUACCUAAAGAAAAAGCACCGGCUAACUACGUG